rnacentral:rRNA from 1 species
AUUGAACGCUGGCGGCAUGCUUUACACAUGCAAGUCGAACGGGCUGGGGGCAACUCCAGUCAGUGGCGAACGGGUGAGUAAUACAUCGGAACGUACCUCGUAGUGGGGGAUAACUCGGCGAAAGCCGUGCUAAUACCGCAUAUGCUCUACGGAGGAAAGCAGGGGACCGUAACAGGCCUUGUGCUAUGGGAGCGGCCGAUGUCCGAUUAGCUAGUUGGUGAGGAAUGGCUCACCAAGGCGACGAUCGGUAGCUGGUCUGAGAGGAUGAUCAGCCACACUGGGACUGAGACACGGCCCAGACUCCUACGGGAGGCAGCAGUGGGGAAUUUUGGACAAUGGGGGCAACCCUGAUCCAGCCAUGCCGCGUGG